ACCCGCUGAAUUUAAGCAUAUCACUAAGCGGAGGAAAAGAAACUAACCAGGAUUCCCCUAGUAACGGCGAGUGAAGAGGGAAUAGCCCAGCACCGAAGCCUGCGGUGGUUUCACUGUUAGGCAAUGUGGUGUUUGGGUCGGCUCGUGGAAUUGCCACUCCAUUCGAAGUCCAGCAUUGAGUAUGGUUACCUGGAUUUGGCCCAGAGAGGGUGAAAGGCCCGUGCGAAUGGAGGUUCAGACAAGUAAGGCAGUUCCCCAUGCCGGCCUUCGAGUCGGGUUGUUUGGGAAUGCAGCCCAAAGUGGGUGGUAAACUCCAUCCAAGGCUAAAUACAAGCACGAAUCCGAUAGCGAACAAGUACCGUGAGGGAAAGUUGAAAAGUACUUUGAAAAGAGAGUAAACAGCACGUGAAACCGCAUAGAGGUAAACGGGUGGCGUCAAGCUGCAAGCCCGAAGGAUUCAGUCGGCAAGGGUUGUAUCGGCCAGAGUAAGGCUCAGCGGUCCGCCAGCAAUGGUGGGUCUGGCUUCGGUCAGAUGUGUGUACCGGGUGGAUGCCGGAGCACGCUGUUGGUCUGUGGGCUGCCUUGUCGGUGCACUUCCUUCGUGGUGAACACCACGACCGAUGGUAUUGCCAGUCUGCUAUAGCCAAGUCGUAUGUGGCCUGUCCUUGUGGCUGGUUGUGUGCGAUCACAGGCAAAUUCGGUGCACGGCGUAGGUUUACCCUCGGGUGGAUCUGCGUGUUAUCGUUCAUCGGUUGUCAACGGGUCGGACUAUGGUUGUUAUAUCUGCCAUGGAUCGGCCUGGUGGGCUAUGGUGGUAAGAAUAACUGUGCAAGGCAUCGGAGUUUUCGGUCUCAAAUGUAGUCUGCAUCCAUGGUAUAAGUGGAUGGGGCAACGUGUCGGCCUGCCUAUUCUUGGGUCUGAUUGUCGUGUCGCCUGCGCAAAGUGGGCCCGGCAGUGGCUCGAGGUAGGAUGGUGUCGAUUGCGUUGUUUCGUGUGUAGACUGCGGUGGACCUGAUAGUCUGUGGUGUAGUGGUAGACUAACCACCCGACCCGUCUUGAAACACGGACCAAGGAGUUUAACAUGUAUGCAAGUCAAGGGGUCUUACGAAACCCAAAGGCGCAGUGAAAGUGAAGCCUCGACUUGUCUCGGGGUGAGGUGAGAUCCUGCCGUUUCUCGUAUGCGUCAGCAUUAGAGCGGUGGGCGCAUCACCGGCCCGUCCCAUGAUGUGGUCAUUGGAUUUCUGUAUUGGCUGCUUGCAGUCGGUGCAGUGCCAGUGCGUCAUCGGGGCGGAGCAUGAGCAUACAUGUUGAGACCCGAAAGAUGGUGAACUAUGCUUGCGUAGGUUGAAGCCAGAGGAAACUCUGGUGGAAGACCGCAGCGAUUCUGACGUGCAAAUCGAUCGUCAAACGUGAGUAUAGGGGCGAAAGACUAAUCGAACCAUCUAGUAGCUGGUUCCCUCCGAAGUUUCCCUCAGGAUAGC
rnacentral:rRNA from 1 species